CCCAGACUCCUACGGGAGGCAGCAGUGAGGAAUAUUGGUCAAUGGCCGUAAGGCUGAACCAGCCAAGUCGCGUGAAGGAAGAAGGAUCUAUGGUUUGUAAACUUCUUUUAUAGGGGAAUAAAGGUAUCCACGUGUGGAUAUUUGCAUGUACCCUAUGAAUAAGCAUCGGCUAACUCCGUGCCAGCAGCCGCGGUAAUACGGAGGAUGCGAGCGUUAUCCGGAUUUAUUGGGUUUAAAGGGUGCGUAGGCGGAAUAUCAAGUCAGCGGUAAAAAUUCGGGGCUCAACCCCGUCGUGCCGUUGAAACUGAUGUUCUUGAGUGGGCGAGAAGUAUGCGGAAUGCGUGGUGUAGCGGUGAAAUGCAUAGAUAUCACGCAGAACUCCGAUUGCGAAGGCAGCAUACCGGCGCCCAACUGACGCUGAAGCACGAAAGCGUGGGUAUCGAACAGGAUUAGAUACCCUAGUA
rnacentral:rRNA from 1 species